rnacentral:pre_miRNA from 1 species
GAAGCAGCAGCAUCAGAGAGCUGGGGUUGAGUGGUAGGAGAAAUGGAUGCUGGCCUCUCAAUUCUGGAUUUGACUCCAGCCCCACAGUCUCAGCCACCCUAGCCAAUUGUCAU